rnacentral:rRNA from 1 species
GACGAACGCUGGCGGCGUGCCUAAUACAUGCAAGUUGAGCGAUGAAGAUUGGUGCUUGCACCAAUUUGAAGAGCAGCGAACGGGUGAGUAACGCGUGGGUAAUCUGCCUUUGAGCGGGGGACAACAUUUGGAAACGAAUGCUAAUACCGCAUAACAACUUUAAACAUAAGUUUUAAGUUUGAAAGAUGCAAUUGCAUCACUCAAAGAUGAUCCCGCGUUGUAUUAGCUAGUUGGUGAGGUAAAGGCUCACCAAGGCGAUGAUACAUAGCCGACCUGAGAGGGUGAUCGGCCACAUUGGGACUGAGACACGGCCCAAACUCCUACGGGAGGCAGCAGUAGGGAAUCUUCGGCAAUGGAGGAAAGUCUGACCGAGCAACGCCGCGUGAGUGAAGAAGGUUUUCGGAUCGUAAAAAUCUGUUGGUAGAGAAGAACGUUGGUGAGAGUGGAAAGCUCAUCAAGUGACGGUAACUACUCAGAAAGGGACGGCUAACUACGUG